AGCUGCUAAAUUCUAGACUAAUUUUUUUAAACAACUUAUUAUUCAAUGUGAAUUUUUUGUGAAUUCAAACUGCCAGUGUAGAUAGAUGAAGUAAUUAUUAUUCAAAAUCAAACGAUAAAGUUUCAUUCAAAGUUCAAAUUUUUGUGGUGAGACUUUGCUAGUGGGUCUAAUACAAGAACAAGAAAAAUUGUCUGCUUAUUCACGAGAAGUCAAUUUUGUAAUCCAAGAGACUACGACCAAAUUCUGUGUUCAAAAUCAUCGAUCGUCGGCUUUCAUCAUUAAUUCAUCGAUACGACGAUCAAAUUUAAUCUCAUAUUUAUACUCAGAUAAUUUAUUUAUAAUUUUUUCGAUUAAAAUACAAUAGAUCAUCAUGUUUCCGUGGUGGAGCUAUCCACUUGUGGUAUUCGGAAUUUUGAUACUUUUGGCGAUCAAACUUUGCAUACAAAAUUCAAAUCAAAACCAUCGAAUUGCUCCGCGUUAAUUUAAUAUAAACGACCUUUUUUUGUAAAAUGUGUAAGUUCUGCGUUUACAAAGAAUUAUGUAAUACAUAUUAAAAUGAUCGAACUCUUACUUAGUGUUAACAUGUACUAUCUUCAGUUAAUUCUAAAUUUUACAUUGAAUAUUGUUGACAUAAAUUUUGCUAUUAGUUUUUUAAUUGAAGA